CUCAAUAUUAUUCGUUGUAGAAGUUGAGAAGCGAGCAGUUGGAAUAGUCUAAGCACAGUGGAUAUGUCAGAAAAACUGGAAGUGGAGGCCAUGGAACUUGUUUAUCAAGAUAGUGGUUUCAGUGAAGCAUUAGGGGUCCAGGAUCAAGAGGGCUUCACAAGGGGACUACACAGAGACGUGUUGGAGCUGACAUGAACUGGCAUGCAAGAGAUGAUUAUGGAAUUUUCAGGAAGUUUGCAAACUGGUUGCUAAAUGCAGUAAUUGCUAAAAAGGUUAUAUAUUUGUAUCUAUUGGAUCUGUAUGAUGGAAAUGCUGUGUAUCUGUACAGUGCAUUCCACCAUGGUAUCACUUCCCAAGUCCACAUUCAGUGACAUCAGGUGGUGCUGAUGCUGCUGGUAAAGGGACCACAUUGAGACGCCCUGAUCUGGAUAACAUAGACUAGAAAGCAUCUAUCACUUUCUGGUAGAAGUGUGAAUAUGCCAGAAACCAGCCAAAAUGUCAACAAGAGAAGAAGAAAUGGGCUUGGAAAUUUCACCGAAUAGUUAAUCAGUUGUUUUUAAGGAACCAAU
rnacentral:lncRNA from 1 species